rnacentral:lncRNA from 1 species
AAGAGAUGUUAACAGGCUCCAUGAUGUUGGCCACAGAGUGCCCCCCUAAAGAGGCCUCAGAAGAAUGAAGGGUAAGAAGCUCCUCCAUAAAAUCAGAUGGCACAAAAUUGGAGGAAAAAGAGUCCUUGGCAUGAGGCUGCCACCAGGAGAAUUCUGAAGAUGCAGGGCGUGAAUGGUCAAUGCCUUUGAUUGUUGGGGCACAGGUGGAUGACCCACCAGAGCCACCUAGAGAUAACAUCACCGGAAAAGUCUUCAAGACGUAAACCAGGCAUUACCCAAGUCCCGCAUUGCUGUUUGGAGCCCUUAACUUGGACCCCACCAACUACACUGCCUUGAAAACCUGAAAUACUGCCUGGAAUAUUUGUUGUACCCAGGCUUUGCUACUCUCAGGAUCACAUUUGUCCUCAAAUCCGUCUUAUCUACAGAAUGUUUUUGCCUUACAUAAAUGCAGAUAUAAAACUUAAA